GACAGAGGGUGCAAACGUUGUUCGGAAUUACUGGGCGUAAAGCGUGUGUAGGCGGCCUAGCAAGUCGGAUGUGAAAGCCCCGGGCUCAACCCGGGAAGUGCACUCGAUACUGCGAGGCUUGAGUGUCGGAGAGGUUGGUGGAAUUCUCGGUGUAGAGGUGAAAUUCGUAGAUAUCGAGAGGAACACCGGUGGCGAAGGCGGCCAACUGGACGAACACUGACGCUGAGACACGAAAGCGUGGGGAGCAAACAGG
rnacentral:rRNA from 1 species